rnacentral:rRNA from 1 species
AUGCUGAUGGCACAACUCGCAUCAACGACUAGGACGCUGUCGAUGGCCGGCAGCGGUGGCCAUAAACCGGAGACCAAGAAGAGGGCGGCCCAAGGAACGGUGGAGGACGAGUACGCGGAGAAGAGGUUCAAGGCCAACUGCUGGGAGCGGUCGGAGGACGAGGAGGUGGAAGCCAUCCGGGCAAGGAGACGUGCCCGAUCAGUCGAGUUUCAGAAUUUCAUGGCCGCGGCCGACAGGGUCGAUAAGGCUGCCCGAGAUUUCCUUGAGCAUCGCAUCAGCUUGCGCGCCGCCAGCAAAACCGAUGCGACGUCACCGUGCUAG